rnacentral:rRNA from 1 species
GACGAACGCUGGCGGCGUGCUUAACACAUGCAAGUCGAACGGAAAGGCCCUGCUUUUGUGGGGUGCUCGAGUGGCGAACGGGUGAGUAACACGUGAGUAACCUGCCCUUGACUUUGGGAUAACUUCAGGAAACUGGGGCUAAUACCGGAUAGGAGCUCCUGCUGCAUGGUGGGGGUUGGAAAGUUUCGGCGGUUGGGGAUGGACUCGCGGCUUAUCAGCUUGUUGGUGGGGUAGUGGCUUACCAAGGGUUUGACGGGUAGCCGGCAUGAGAGGGUGACCGGCAACAAGGGGACUGAGAGAGGGAGCAGAGUGGAACGGGAGGCAGCAGGGGGGAAUAUUGCAAAAUGGGCGGAAGCCUGAUGCAGCAACGCCGCGUGCGGGAUGACGGCCUUCGGGGUGUAAACCGCUUUAGCCUGAGACGAAGCGUGAGUGACGGUAAUGGGUAAAGAAGCACCGGCUAACUACGUG